AGCACCGCCUCCAGCGCCCAGGCUCCGGGUAAAGAAGCUCCAGGAGCGGGAUCCCGUAGUCCGCGGGGGGCGGGCGAGCUGGACUCGGAGCCCAGGAAGGGGAGAAGGGCUCCGGCAAAACGCAGGACGCGCUCCCCAGGGCUGCCGACCUGCUGCUUCUACAAUGAACUGCAUAUCAUACUUGGUGUGGGCACACCAGUAACCCAUAUACAACAGUGGACAUUUUGCAUGAGCCUCAGGUGGAGACUCCUACAGUGCACAGCAGCGAGGAGAAGAAAGUAGGGAGAGAUGUGGAGGGGAAUGCAAACGAUGCAGCGAGCCAGGAGCUGUAUGAAACUCUGCUGGAGGCAAGCCAGUUCUGCCAGUCAAAUGCCAAAUGAGACUGCUGAUGAAGGGAAAAGGAGCUUGGACAACACCAUUGUCUUGCUCAUCUGCACCAGAUGGACAUAUUCCAAAGGAUCUCCUGUAUGGAGAAAUUCCAGAUGCUCCAGGGCCCCGGGCCAACCUAGGUUCAAAACGUUUGCAAAGGGGAAUUGAAAACUUGCAGCAUUGACACUACAAGGUGGGAAGAUGCAGCUAGCAAGAGGACACGCUGGAGGGCUGGUCUGCACCAAGGAGUCAAAGAGGCUAAAGGGAGGUGGUUGAGAAAGAGGAAAGUACAGCAGGCCUCAAGUGCUAGCAGUGUAUUAGUUCACCUUCUGGCUCAGUGCCUUAUACCUGCAUUAUCUGUGGCAAGGACUGUUGCUUGAGAAUUGGACUUAUUAGUCACUCAUGAUACUGAAGCAUAACACACAGUAACUGAAUUGCUUCAACACUUACACCAUUGUCUUUUGAGAUGAACACCUGCCAUUCAUUCCCCACAUUCAUACACAGGGAUGCCCAGUGUGACAGUCUGUAUCCCUAUAUUCACCCUUUUUACAAAACUAUAAUGGAUUUUGUACAAAGUAUGCCUUGUGACUUAUCAUUUGAAAACUCAUAAUGUGCUCAUUGUUAUUGUCCUGGUAAAAUAUGUGUGGCAACAUUGUAUGUAAAGUUAUAAGAUUCCACUGUAUAACAUUACUGAGACAUAUUCCAAGUUUAGAAAAGCAGGCACAAACCAGUUCCUAAAAGGCAAACUGAUGCCUCAGAUAGCUGUCAACAAAAUCAGACGGACUAUUACCUGGUUAAGCAGCCAUGCUUUGUCAGGAAAAGGGUGUACAUAAGAAAUUUACAUCUUGGCAAAGAAACAGCUGGAAGUUCCCGUUCCACAGACUUUCUGUCUCCUGAACCCCAGCUGGAGAUGAUUCUCAAAGAGGAGGAAAAGAUAUAAAAAUGGGGAACAGAUGCCUCAAAUGACUCCUCCUUUUUUCUAUGCCCAUGGCAUCAACAACUACUGAAGAACAAGGAAAUUAACACUGAACUGGGGCAGGGGUCCUGGCUGACAGGAUUCCAGCCAUAAGACUGCUAAAGCAUAUGGUGAGAUAAACAUUUUGCUUUGAAUUCAGUUAACUUGUUAAGUUAGGUGUUAGUUGCAUGUCACCUUUUAUUUCUUUGUAAUCAAUUCUGAUUUUUAUG